rnacentral:sRNA from 1 species
AAAAUAACAACGCAAAAUAACAACAUUCUCGGGAAAUGCAUAAUUUGAUGCGAGGUUGCCUACUUCGGUGCCCCAAGACCAUUGAAAGCUCUCAGACAGAAUGGAGAACAAAUACUAUCGAACAAUCUUGGGUGCGGUGUUUCCCUAUCCUCUUUCAAGGGUGAUGGGAAGGAUCGCAAUGAUUGAGCGUACAU